rnacentral:rRNA from 1 species
UACGGGGGGGGCAAGCGUUGUUCGGAAUUACUGGCGUAAAGGGCGCGUAGGCGGCCUGCUAAGUCGGACGUGAAAUCCCUCGGCUCAACCGAGGAACUGCGUCCGAUACUGGUGGGCUUGAAUCCGGGAGAGGGAUGUGGAAUUCCAGGUGUAGCGGUGAAAUGCGUAGAUAUCUGGAGGAACACCGGUGGCGAAGGCGGCAUCCUGGACCGGUAGUUGACGCUGAGGUGCGGAAAGCGUGGGGAGCAAACAGG